GGGUGGGGGGUGCUUGCCAUGCUCUCAAGGGAGCUAAUCAGGCAGCAGGCUGGGACAGCUUCCAGGGGGUGUUGUAUUUAACGUGCUAAUUCACUAUUCUAAUUGAAUAUGCUAAUGUCACCUGCCAGUCUGCCCUCUGCCCCUCUGUGAGCAUUUCGCAAGCUCUUCGACCAAGGGAUACAGGUGCCCAGGGAUGCAACCGCACAGUUUACAGAACACGUUUUCCCUGCGCUGUCUCCUCUGCUUGUUUAAACCCUUCCAGCCCGUGCACCCGCAGCACUGGCCUCCCCUGGAAGCCGAUUAGAAAUGCAGCGUCUCAGGCCCCUGCCCAGACCGACUCCAUCGGAAUCUGCAUUUCAUUGAGAUCCUGAGUGACUCAUCCUGCGAGUGAGAGUUCAGAAGUGCUGCUGCACUGAGAGUCCAUGAAGCGAGUUCCGUUGCACCCACUUUACAGUGAGAAGAUGGAGGCCCCAAAAGAGAGCCUCACAGUUCAUAAAUAGCUAGUGACCCCAGAUUGUUCCUGCCUCUCCUUUCCAACCUGGACCUGCUGGUCCUUCAGUGAGAACAUAGGGGCCCAGAGAGGGAACGUGCCUUGCCCAAGGCCACACAGCAAGACUAGAAUCCCAGGUCUUCAGACUCCCCAGGCAUCCAUGUGCUUUCCCCGACCCAAGCCGCCAGGGAGCCGUAGUUCUCAAAGUGUGGUCCAUGGACCGGUAGCAUCAGUGUCAGUUAGAAUGGAUAUUUCCAGGCCCUUUCCAGAGCUGCUGAAUCCAAAGCCCUGAGGGUAAGGCCCUGGAAUCUGCAUCUUAGCAAGCCCUUUGGUGUUUCUUGGGCUCACUGCAGGAAUAGCCCGAGACCUUGAAGGAACAUCAUGCAAUUCUCAGAUUUUCCACUAGAGGGAGUGCGCGCCCCAAGGACGCAGCCUUGCAGCAGCGCUAAACCCCCACACAGCAGGUGCCGGUGGUUUUCUGCUGGUGGGUCCGGUGCGGUUGCUGUUCGGGGAAGAUCCUCAGGUCACACCAGUCAAAGGUGUUUGGGAAAGGAAGCACUUCUGUUAACUCAGGAGGCAGGAAGCCUGCGUUCUGAUCCCGUACCGUCCACCUGGACCCAAACACCCAGGCCUGCCACGGGCAGAUUCACUGUGCAACCUCAGCAGCGCCCUUGACCUCUGAGCUUCAUCUUCCUCCUCUGCAAGGCCCUGCGGUCCCCCCAAAGAGGCUCAGUCCCCAGCCCCAGCCUCGAUCUUUUACAAGGCAUCCGUUAAUGUCUGCACACCGUUAGGAAGCAGAAGGCGUGUUGUCACACAGAGGUUCGUAGGUGCCUUGGGGUGGUUCUGCUGUGAUGCUGUGUUCUCUCUGGUGUGUCUCCAUGACUCACAUGCUCUCUGUGCCUGGAGGUCGUUGUGCCUGCGUGUGAGGUCUGGGACUGUGGCAGCCGUCUUGGGCCCAUGAGGGGUGCUGACCACGGGAGACGUGCUGAGUGAGGAUGGCAGCCCUGAAAGUAGAAAGACCCUGAGUCCUGCAUGAUGUCAGGCCCUGCAGAAUUAGUCUGCUCGGGAGCUUGCCUCCUUCUUGUGAUGUGAGUUGAUAAAUGCCCUGGCAGCUUCCUCCCGCCGGGAAGGGGUCUUCCGUUGCCUGCAGCGAAAAGCUUCCAUCCAGCUGGCUUGUCUUGCCAUUUGCCCAGCUGUCUGCCUGGGGACGAAGCAGAGGGACUUUCGUGUGCCACCAGCUCCUGCGAGUGUAGCAGCUGAUGGACUUAGGGAGUCCUGGGAGGACAAAACCCUGCCACGGGAAGUGACAUUGGAGAGCUACAGCAGAGGGCUGUGGGAAGUUGACAGCCAGCCACACGGUCACAAGGAAGGGACUGAUGGGGGUGGGGUCAAGACCUCGCAGUGGGUCCAAGUGCCGUGGGGAGCGUGUCUUGGAGGCGGAUUUCCAAAGAGGCACAGAGGGAACUCUUGUGCGUUCUCUUGCCACCCUCACCGCUUCUUCUGUAAACAAAGCCAUUUCCUUAUUCCUCACAAGCCAGUUUGCCUGCCUCUCCUUCUGAGAAUUACACCCAACAUUUAUAUAUAUUUGGAUAUGCAUAUAUUAAUAUGUAUGUAUACACUUAAUGGUGAUAAUUAAUUUGCACUGGAGCUUUCGGUGCAGAAGUUUUUACCCCUGUUUGUUCUCACAAGAACCCUGUCAAAUUUGGAUCAACAUCUUAUUCGUCUCCUUUUUAACAAGGACGUGGGGGCUCAAAGAGAGCCUGGCCCAAGAACGCACAGUCAGAUGCACCAAAGCCAGGGCUCGAACCCUGAUUUUCUGGCUUUUCACUUUUCGCCCAUUCGCAGCCGCUCCUCCAGGUCGAGCCCCUGACCGUGAGUUUCUUCAUCCGUCCAUGAGGCAUCUUUUCAAACCCGUACUCCUCCUCGGGAGACUCAGAGUUUUGCAGCUGCUACCCCCUCCCGCGGGUGAAGUCACAGGCGUGUUAGAAUUAGGGGACAACUCUGCUUGUUUCAGAAAACACCGCCCGAUGAUUCCAUGGGUCCAGAGCUAUUUCUGAAGAUGCCAGGACCAAGGCGCUCUCAAAAGAGCCAUUAUCUUAUUGCAAAACUAUAAUCAGAUUCCCCCUGAAAUAACGGCUUUGCUCGCCCUGAGCCGACAUGAAGGGCCAUUAGAAAUACGCUCAGAGGCUCUGUAUUGCUACCUACCCAUCUAAUUAUAAUCAGGAGUGGGGGGCGGAAUCCAAAGAUGACCUCAGCCACCGCCCCCUCUAAACACCAUCACCGCUAAGAGCUUCUUCACUCUUCUUGCUGCAUCAGCCCGGCCCCUCUGGUCCCGUCAGGUCUUCGUUUGAGACUGUACACAGCCGAUUUGGAAAAGCAGGAAGCAGGUGCCUCUGACCAAGGCUCUGUGGUGCUGAUUACGAUAGUGAUGGGGCGAGGAUGGUGGUGACGGUGACAUUAGGUGACAUUAGGUGAAUGAUACAAUCACAACCGUGCCCUGCCCGGUACCCAGGGCACAUCAGCCCCUCAGCCGUGGACCUCAGCCGUCUUGUGCCCUUACUGUUCUCACCCUCCCUGAGGCCUUCACCCCCAGGCUCUGAGGAUCAGACUCCUAAACUCCGGGGGCUUCCAUGCGCUGGGACCCCCAGUAUUCUCCAUGGGGGGUGUGCCAUGAAGGAAGCACGGGCUCGCAUCUUCGUCUGGCUGCUUCCUGGUCCUGUGACCCUGGGAAGUGACGGUCUCUGUUUCCUCAUCCAUGCAAGGGGGGUACCAUCGUCCCUCUCUUGGGGUAACUGUAACCAUAGCACCAGGUGAUGGACACAGGCAGCCGAGCCAGGUGCAUGAACGGGUCUCUCCCUGGCCCCGCCGUGCAGGGUCUUGGGCAGCCAUCCUGGUUGGAGGUGCCAGCCAGAGACACUUGCACAUCUUCCUACAGCAGCGGUUCCCCAGCUGCUGGUGUACACGUCACCUGGGGCGCCCCACAACCAUGAACACCUGUCCACGCCCCAGGAGCAUUCGGCAGACCCUCUCGGGUUGGGUCCGAGGUUUAUAAAGCUUCCAGUGUGCAGCCCGUGGCCUGGACCAGGCUGCCCCCUGGAACUGUAAUCUGAGCGGAGGUCAUUGAUGCUUCCUUGGCCAUAUUAACAGGAGUCAAAAGAGAACAAGAGAGAUGAAUUUUCAUAAUAGACUUUUUUUAACCCAACUGUUAUCACUUUUCCCAUGUAAAUCCCAUACUGAGAAAUUCCCAGUGAGCUAUUUUCACUUGCUUCCUGUCCCAAGUCUUUGAGGUCUGCGGAGUAUUUCCCAUGUGGGGCAUGUCUGCUGCACGUUUCAAGUGGCUCAUGGCUUCCAUUUUGCGCACCCACCUGGCAAGACGGGCACCCCCCCCCCCCCACUUUACAGAUGAAGAAACUGAGACUCAGAGAGGUGAAGGGACCAGCCCAGGCCCCCCAGCUGUUUAGUGGCAAAGGCGACUCAAACCCAGGUGUCCUGGCCACAGCCAGGCGCCCCUCCUGUCCCCCACCCAGGUCCAGGCGGCUCCCGGCCCCAUGUCCGGUCCAGAUACUGCCCCGCAUCAAGGGAGGGGAGUGGCAGGGGGCAGGGCCUGGGUCCAGCGCCCCCGAGGCUGGACCUCUGAGGUCCACACCCCGGUUGGACCCGAUCCCUUUGGGGCCAUGAUUUCUCUGUUGUCUACUCUUGUCCCCCAGCUGCACUCCCGGGGUGGAGGCUGGGGUUUGGGGCUCUUUGCACCUUGCCCAGCACAGCGCCCCAGCCCGGCAGGGGCACAAGCGAGACCACAGAACCAGGAGCCUCUGAAGGUAGCUGAGCCACAGGAGCCUCCCUGGGGGUCCCGGCAUGGUUGCCCCUGGGCAGCGGCCAUCGAACCCCAGGACGGCCCCUCCGGACAGCCUUCCUCACCAGAACCCCGUUCAGGUUCUUAGAGACCCUCCGAGGCGCACCCAGCACCUGCUGACCGCUUUGCUCCUGCUCCCAGCAGGGGUGAGGCUUGCAUGGUUUCUAGAAUCUGUCUCCCCUGCUGGAACAGAGUCCCGAGAGGGAGGGGGUGUCCAUGUAACCUCAUGCCGCGUCCACCAGGGAGCCUGGCACCCCACGGCUCUGCAGACACUUCAACGAACCCGGCCAUCCGCUCCCAGUUUCAGGGAACCUGACGAAGCUCGAACAGCUUCUGCAGACCCCACACUUAGCCCGGAACAGCUCGAGCCCAGGAGGAGUCUGAUGCCACAGUGCCGAGGGGCUUUUCCGCCAUCGGGUGAUCAGUUUUGUCCACAUUGUCCCAGUAGAGUGAUGGGCCACCUGCACCAGCUCAGAACACUGGGGGCACCAGUGGCCACGAUGGCACUCACCCAGAGACAAGGGACCUAGUUUCUCACCAGGGCAGACCCCGGGUGGAGGGCAGCGAGGUCCCGCCAUCAGUACAGCAACCAGCGCCUCGGCGUGUGAGGGAAGCCGGGCCCCCUAAGUCUCUUGCCGGAAACUUCGUCCCGUCCUAGGUUUGCCUCUCAGUGGACCUGCUCACAGGCCAUACAGCUGGCUGGCCGGAUGGUGCCCCGCAGGUGGAAAGUGGGUUCCCUUCCCAUCACCUCUGCAGUGCCCCCCCCACACCCAUGGCGCUGGGGGCCAGGGUACCAGGGCACUUUCUCAAGGAAGCCCUCUGAAGUCCUGACACCCCGUUUAAAAUUUCGGAAGUGUCUUCCCAAGUAGAUGCUGGAGGGUGUUCGCAUCAGGCGGGCCCUCCCCCUCCCCCUCCCCCUCCCCCACCGCCACCCCCUGGGACCCUGAGCUCCAGGGGCCCCGCCCAGGUGCUCGCCUCCGGGAGAAGGAUGUUUCGCAACAUCGCGCCCCAUCCAGCCCACACCCCAAACCAGAGCACAUGUAAACCACCUUCUUAGAUAACUCCGUGCGUUCUUCCUCAUGCUUGUGGUUGGCGUUUUCUAGAACCCACCAGCACCUUUUGGUUCAUCUGCUGGUUUUGAUGUGCCCUUCUCCACCUUCGAAGGGGGGAAAUGGUCAGGAGACCUCAGGUUUUGUUCUGUUUUGUUUUGUUUUUUUUUAAGCUUCAGGGAUGGCAGUGGUGGCCCCGCUCCAUCAAAAUGCUCCCUGCCGAGAGAGCCGCCCAUUCCUUCGACGGAGGGAGGCCAGGCCUUGAGAGAAGGGAAUUAAGAACAGCAGCCCGAGGGUGCGAACCUGGACGUCCGCGGAGGUCAGGGACCCCCGAAGGACGCCGCGGGACUGGUUACCGCGCCGGUGCCGCACCGUUGCUGUGGCUGCUCGUUGGGUUCGAUGCGGCCCAUAGCUCUGAGCUCCACGCCUUUGUGAACGUCUGCAAAGCCGUUCUGAAGGCUGCCUGCCAGAUGAUCCCAACUGGGUGACUUUCUGGAAAAGGCAAAACGAGGAAGACAGUCGAAAAUCAGUGGUUGCCGGGGGUCGGGCUCACCCAGAGACCCCAGCAUCAUCUCACCUGCGUGAAGUCCGUAACCCGAAUCGCAUCUGCAGAAAUCCCCUUUGCUGUGUAAUGCAGCGUAUCUACAGAUUCUCGGGGAGCUUAUAUGAACAGGUCCGGGAGGGGUUCGUUCUGUCUCCUACCGCGUGUGGGCGUGAAAACUGGUACACGCGUGUGCCUAGCAGCUUUAUUUGUCAUCACCGAAGGCUGGAACCCCAGGGGAGGGGGUAAGCAGCAGUGAUCCAUCUCUAUGACUUCGUCCUACUCAGCAAGCCAUAGAGCGGCUUACUGAUAUCCGCUACAACCCAGAGGAACCUUAAAAUAAUUAUGCUCUAUGAAGCCAGCUGCCCCCUCAAAAGCCACACAAAACGCCCUCGUUCCAUUGUAUAAAAUUCUAGAAAAUGCAAACUCGACUCUCGUAACAGGAAGCAGGUCCAUAGCAUCUAGAAAGAACAGGUGGGAGGAAAUUCAAAAGGAGCCAGGAAACCUUGGGAGCCAUCGGCUGGUUCAUUACCUUGAGGGCAGCGGUGGUUUUAGGAGCAUAU
rnacentral:lncRNA from 1 species